CGCUUGACAGGUAAUUUGUAACCCAAUUCAGAAAAGCCUACAAAAAAAAAUAGAAGGCAAAUAUAGAGCUACAUUUUUAAACUGUCAGGCAAAGAUUAGAUAACAUAAGGUAAUUGAUGUUUGUGUUCUAGUAAAGGCUGCUAAACUAUUAUGAAAGUACUAUCAUUCCUUGAACAAAGUGCCAUCACUGAUCUGUGCAUUGACAGAAGUUUUCAGGUUUAUUAGAAGUACAGUCUCAUCCAAUGUUAGAGUGCUUAUUUGAUAUUUGGUGGUCAGACAAUUUGGACUGGAAGAGUCUGAGACUUCACUGUAACCAGAUAUGAGUUCUUUACAGGAUAAACAAUCCCAUCAUUUACUAAGCAUGGAGGAAACAUCUGAUAAACCAUAUUAAGAUGAUUGUAAUGAUGCAUAACAAUUAUGGCAUGAUCUCAAAAAGAGACAAAGUUCUUGGCUGCUCGGUCAGGUUUGAAGAUCCCUGAAGAUCUUAGAGAUUUUUCAGGCUUCUCAUCUCAAAAGGUUGCAUUCCUGAUGUCAGGCAGAGGAUAGGUGCAAGGAAUAGGAAGGUUGGGGCUAGAAUGGAAGAACACAAAAACUUAGCAGUUGUGUUAUAUUAGGUUUGAGAACACAAGUCAACUGCAGGACAUGACAGACACUGCCCAAUAUAAUAGCAUGAUUUAACUCUCACUAUUCCAGUAGUCUAUAAUUUUACCUAUAUAGCCUGAAACAGUCCUCAGGUGACAUAAGUCAAAGAACAUACCCACACGCAAUUACAAUAAAACAGUUCCUUCAUUCAUCUACAAAUGACUGCUGUGCUUUCUUGAGCUAUGAGAGGCACAGAGAAAUUGUAUGUGCGAAAGCUCAAAGGUUGCCAUAGCAGAGCACAGGUGAGAGAUGACUCCUCCUUCAUCUACCUUGAAGGAUGGAUGGAUCUCUGUGCUGGAGGAAUGUAGUCAAAUUGAUCCCAGCUGAUUUCCUCCCUCAUGCUGUUGAAGGUGUGUGACUGUCCUACAUGCUCUGCACCAGCACAAGUCUUCUGCUACCAGCCUUGUGGGCCACAAUCAGAGGAGCAUCCUGCAAAUUCUAGUGGAAAGGCUGAUGGUUUUGGAGUUGGAUGUCCACAAGAUAAGCCUGUGACAAUAAGAG
rnacentral:lncRNA from 1 species